AUAUCCUGCUUUUGGCUUGUAAAUAUAAUGCAACAUAUUGCAUUAUGAGAGCCCUUAGGCAGGUACAUUAACAAUUCGUAUUUACUCUUGUACGUCCUGUGACGCAUGAGAUCGCAACCGAAUUUACAUCUU
rnacentral:snoRNA from 1 species